AUACGGAGGGUGCAAGCGUUAUCCGGAUUCACUGGGUUUAAAGGGUGCGUAGGUGGAUUGGUGAGUCCGUGGUGAAAUCUCCGAGCUUAACUCGGAAACUGCCGUGGAUACUAUCAGUCUUGAAUUCCCUGGAGGUAAGCGGAAUAUGUCAUGUAGCGGUGAAAUGCUUAGAUAUGACAUAGAACACCAAUUGCGAAGGCAGCUUACUACGGGAAUAUUGACACUGAGGCACGAAAGCGUGGGGAUCAAACAGGAUUAGAUACCCUGGUAGUCCACGCCUAAACGAUGAUUACUCGACAUACGCGAUACACUGUGUGUGCCUGAGCGAAAGCAUUAAGUAAUCCACCUGGGAAGUACGACCGCAAGGUUGAA
rnacentral:rRNA from 1 species